rnacentral:rRNA from 1 species
AGAGUUGAUCAUGGCUCAGAACGAACGCUGGUGGCGUGUCUUAUACAUGCAAGUCGAGCGAGGCAGCAAUGCCUAGCGGCGAACGGGUGAGUAACGCGUAAGCAAUCUGCCCCAUAUCAGGAAAUACCCGUGCCAACGCGCGGUUAAUGUCCAGGAGCGUGGCCUUCCGCAUGGGAGGUUGACAAGAGAUUUAUCGGUAUGGGAUGAGCUUGCGUCCGAUUAGCUAGUUGGCGGGGCAACGGCCACCAAGGCGACGAUCGGUAGCCGGCCUGAGAGGGUGAUCGGCCACAUUGGGACUGAGAUACGGCCCAGACUCCUACGGGAGGCAGCAGUAGGGAAUAUUGCACAAUGGGGGAAACCCUGAUGCAGCAACGCCAACCGUGUGGGAAGAAGCAUUUCGGUGUGUAAACCACUGUCGUGAGGGAAUAAGGCGUCUUCUCGGAGACGUUGAAUGUACCUCGAAAGGAAGCACCGGCAAACUUCGUGCCAGCCGCCGC